GACCAUGCUAUCGGAUAGGAUAUUGUCUCCUUCGACUACUUCCCUCUGUCUUGCUCGGGACUUCUCCGCAAGCAACUGGCAAUGGCGUCUUCGAUCUCGACGUGCCACAGCCUCUUGCCCUCCCAAUUCUCUCUGAAGAACCGAGUUCUUCAUCAACCCACUUCCUUCUUGCCCUCGUCCACCACUAAUUUGUCCUCGAAAUCGAACCUUCUUUCUCUUCAGUUCUUGAACACGACGCGUCUCCCACUUCACUCUCCGACCAGGAAGUCCCUCUCCGUCGUCGCCAUGGCUCCUCCUAAACCCAGUGGCAAACCCAAGAAAGUGGUUGGGUUGAUAAAGCUUGCGCUAGAAGCUGGGAAAGCAACUCCUGCGCCUCCUGUGGGGCCUGCGCUCGGUGCCAAGGGUGUUAACAUAAUGGCCUUUUGCAAAGAUUACAAUGCCAAGACCGCCGAUAAAGCCGGUUAUGUUAUUCCGGUGGAAAUCACUGUCUACGAUGAUAAGAGUUUCACUUUCAUUUUGAAGACCCCUCCUGCUUCAGUUCUGUUACUUAAGGCUGCAGGUGUGGAGAAAGGUUCGAAGGACCCAAAGAUGGAGAAAGUCGGGAAGAUCACAAUUGACCAAUUGCGUGCGAUCGCUACGGAGAAGUUGCCCGACUUGAAUUGCACGACUAUAGAAUCGGCAAUGAGAAUAAUAGCAGGAACGGCAGCUAAUAUGGGUGUCGAUAUCGACCCCCCUGUUCUUGAGCCCAAAAAGAAAGAACUUGUGUAGUCUUGUCAAUCCUCUGUUGCCAUAAGUUUUGCAUCAUGGUGCUUAGAGUUGAGCAUUUUUAAUUACUGACAAUGGUGCUUGUCCGGCGUUCUUCCCAAGUGAAGAAGAGCAUAAACAGGAAUGCUCGUUUCAUUCAAAGUCACAGCGGACAUGAUCGAAUAGGAGAUGUACAUUCUGAGUUUGAAAGUUGGUGCGGUUGCAGUGUGGUUGCACUCGGUUGCUUAAAACUCUCAUGGCGAUCGCAGCCCAGCAAGUGGUCUCCGCGGCGGCGGUCGCUAUACUAGUUGCAUUAUAAGCGAUUAGGUUUUCAACCUUUUUCACAAGAACUUUCUUAUCCACUCUGUACAUAAAUUUCAGUUUGAUUUUAUACAAUGUACUCCAGAUGUAUGGUCAAAUAGGACAUGUACAGUCAGACAUAU